GUGUUCAACCCUCAGUUCCGAAGUUUCUCUAUUCCGUUUGUUUUGUAGCCUAAUAGAGUUUAACCAGGAUCGGAUCCACUCUUUGCGUACUACACCUCUCCGUUCUCCUUUCUCCGCUGGAGAUCUGUUGGCGGAUUGGAUGGUCUGACUGACCGACCGACUGACUACAACCUUUCUGUAUACGAAACCACACAUACAAACAGUCUUGAACAUUAUUUGCCAAUAUCAUAACUGGAACUGGACAUGUUUGGAGUUGAAGAUUGAGGCCAGGUUUAGUAUCCUAGCGUUCACUACUUAACAGUACUGGAUGAAAACACAGCAAGAAAACACUUGCUGGAAGAGUGUGGGACUGCUGUACCAAUUGUCCACAUUCAAAGUGUGUCCCUUGCCGAGAUGAGGAGCCAGCAUGGUCAUCACCGUGGAACCAGACACCCCAAGCCCCUCCUAAUGUUGGAUGUCAAUGGUGUAUCCUGUGUAAACUAUAAUGUCCUGGACAAAUCCUGUCUUCACGUCGCAUAUAACAAAGCACUUGACCACAAACCUUUGCCUUUUGGGUGGAACGCCAGCCUACCCUUCCGUAACAUCAGGGACUUAUCAAUGCAUAGGUCCUUGGAUGGCACAAAGACCAUCGCACAGGAAAUGCUAAUGCUAAUGUCAAGCUGCUCCAAGGCAUAGCGGUUGGUCUCCUCUAGUAUGUCUCCCACCAGCUCCUCUGUCAGAAACAGCAUGAAGCACUCUGCCUCAGAGGGAAAUGGCAAGGGGCUUUGAAAUCCAGACUGGGACUCAUCAAAGCAAACAGCAGGGCCAGGAAAUGGCUGGCAGCCUUCCAGCUACCACAGACCUCCUGUACAUUAUCCACUGUCAGUCUGCCUCCGUCAACACCAGCAUCUUCAAAGGGACCUCGGGCUUCGUCAGGGGUCAAGGGGUUCUCAGAUUCAGGGUUCUCAAUGGCUAGAAGGUUGGGGGCAGCUCAUCAUUGUCACUGUCAGAAUAUGAUUCCUGACUUUGUCAGAAUUGUACAAAAUCUUUCCGCAUUUGUGAGUUGUCUCCUUUUGAAAGACAUUGCUAAUGCUACAGCUUAGCUCACUAGCUACAUACAUAAAGAACAACACUGAAUCGCUCAGAGUGGGAGGUUACAUGAGAGGUUACGUGAUUGACUGCCGGCACGUGCCAAUUGUAUCGAUACAUCCCUAUCAGAAAAUGUUUUGUGGUAAUUAUUUAUUUAUAUACUGUUUUAUUCACGUUUUCAAGUACUGGUGACAAAUCAUGCAUUCCGAUUCUUGCAUAGAUUGUAAUGGACACAUUAUGUGUGUAAAAUACUUUUAUGAAGGUUGUACUGAUUAUGAUGAGCUAAGCUAAUUCCAGCUAUGUGUGGAGCCAUGUUUGUUGAAAUACAACGCAUUCUGGGUUUCACGUAAUCGUCUGUCGGACCAAGGAUUUUAUAAUAAAAUGAGGUGAGGGAGGGUUUACUCACUUUUCGAGUAAACUUCCAGAAGUGAAUGAUGGGAUGUGAACGAUGGUAGACGACACACUGUUACAGGAAUUAAAUUCCUUUGUUUUCACCAAUUCAAUUAAACACUGCCAACUCCUAAGAAUUUGUAAGACCCUUAUUUGCAUAAAAUGGACAGAGACCAGUCUCAAAAUCAAUCAGUAGCGUUUAUUCUCGAGAGUACUGAACACGAUACAAUUUACCACAGGUUAUAAACUGAAAAUGACGUCAUUCGUUUUCGAACUGUCCCGUCUCUUCUCCACUCUGGUACAAUGGCAGUAUAGUUCUCAAGCCUUCCCGCAUCGUCCCACACCAAUUUAGAUAAUUUAUGACUGAGCCAAGGUCUUCCUGUGUAGAUAAGCAUUCUAGCCAGUCUGACGAUAAGUUCAUUCAUUUCUACCACAGAACAGUCAGUCAUUGUUCUAAUUCUUGAUUAUAAUUACACACAUUAUAUUCAGUACUAGGAUUAAAAGAACAUUCAUACAUAUACAGUACAUAAUAGUAUUCUGAUUAGUCAGUCCUGAUUGAAAUGUAUACAUAAUUAGUCAUUAUUGAUAAACAAAAAUCCUUACACACCCCCUUCAACAGACCAAACCAUCUUGUCUCCUCUUAUCUUUGGUUGGUGAGAAAAAACAAACAUGGUGGCGUGUAUAUACAACCCAUCGUUGGAUUACUUUCAAUUUCUAGAAAGUGUUUCACUCAAUUAUUUAGAUCAAUGGUCAGCUCAACCGUGAUGUGAUUAUUUUUAUAUAGUAAUUGGAAUUAGCUAAUUCCUGCUGUAGUUUCUGUCAAGCGAGAGUUAUGAAAAUAUGAAUGCUUAUGUUACGUCGAUCUUUCCUCAGUUAGCGCUAGGAUAAAUUUAGCCUACAUUUUCCGGUUUGGAUGAUUGUGUUAUGUUGUAGCUACUUCUGUGAAUGUCUGAACAUUGCAUCCAAAAAUAAACUGGUCA